CCGUUGCCUUCAAGAAGUGGAUUAUCUGGUCCUUCGGAAACAGAAUCACUCAAUUAAGGAAAUGAGAGCUCAGCAGUGUCAGGCUGGAAGUUCUGACUAUGGGUGUCAGACGGUGGGUGUCCUGCCUGUGCUCUUUGCAGGGAGAUCUCGCUGCCUGCCUAGGAUCGCUACGGAACUGGUGACAGGGCCCUGAGGACGACAACACCUGCUCUUGCACGGGCCCUGGAGGGAGGAAAGUGGGAGAUGAAGCUAAGGCGAAAGAAACCCUUCAGGAGCUGGACCAUCUCUGAUCCCGUCUGUGACGAGGGGCCCAGCGUCCAGCUGGCACAGAGCAGACAUCAAUGCACAUUGGUUGAGAUGGAACCAGGUCAGAAGCACAUCACGACUGUCUCCCCACUUCCAUCGGACAGCGUCCAUGAUUGGAACGGUCACUCUCCACUCUGGAUUCCACCCUGGCAGCAUGACCUCACACCGUUGGCCCGGGUCCCUUCCCCCCUCCCUUCUUCCUGGUCCCAGGUGCUCUGGGGCUGGCAGGAUGCAACAGGAUAGGAUGUGCGGUGGCCAUACAUGUCCAGACAAGCAGGCCGACCCAGGAGGCAAGGACGAGAGUUCCCGACUCACACCAAGGUGAGGGUGAAGGCCAGGGGUGGAGACACGCCUGAUAAGAAGUCACACCUCAUCAAGCCAGUAAGCCUCAGCAGGGCCUUGCUAAGGAGCUUCAGGAGUUGAGGGUAGGACAAAGGGCUCCGAGAAUCAGCCCCCAAAGCAGGAAGGAGAUCCGGCCAACUCCGCAGACCUGGGUCCCUCUGGUGUUGGCGUCCGUCCGAGUGGCUGCUUCUCUUCUCCAUCAGAGCCCAGCUAUGCUCAGCCCAUUUGCUUGGGUCCCAGCAGACCCCAAGGCCAUGGGAGCCUGGGAAGGAGCUCACCCGGGGGAGUGACUGACAGGUUGUCAGGCGCCCGACUUUGGGAUGGGAACUCGGGCAAUCAGACAGCAGCUGAGAUCCCAGGGGGAGCUGGCCCUGCUGAUGGAUGCUCUGAGUCUCUGCCAUCUGCUUCUGCUCUGUCUCCCUUGCCCACCCCCCAACUCCCAUCCCGCCUUCUUGUGCUCUCCUUGGUCACUGGCCAGUGGUGCUGGGGGUGGCAGAGCCAGCAGGUCCAUCAAGCAGGGGAUGCAGGGAGGCUGGAGCCAUCAGUUCAUGAAUCAGCUCAGCUCUGGUGCUCCUGUCAGUGGGAGACAAAACAGCGGCAUCUGGAGUAUGUGCCCCAGGGGCCCAGUAUACGCAGGGGAGAAGGAGGCCUCUGAGACCAGACGGACCUGGCCUCAAACCCUGAUGCCACCACUCACCAGCUCUGUGACCUCGGGAAGCCACUUGACUUCUCCAAGCCUCAGGGUCCUCCUCCGUAAAAUAGGGAUAGUAGAACCUGUCUUGCCUAACUCACAGGUUGUUGAGAGGAUCAAAUGAGAGAGAGGGUUUCCAGAUUGCUACCAAUGGACACUCCCAUUAUUGCUAAGCACACAGUGGGCUAGUGGCAGAAUCCAGCUCGCACCCACUUCUCCGCCUCCCUGACUUUUGUUCCUACUCUGUACUAGCAUCGGUUUCAGCUUGGUUUGGAGGCAGAAGAAUAGACUUGAUGACCUUGAGAGUUGAGCCCCUCUGGGUCUGCUUGAUUCAGUUCCAGGGGCACAUGAGAACUGGGCCAUUGUUGUGUUUGUUUAACUGAUUAAAUGACUGAUCAGUGAACGUGGCUCAUGAAAUUGUACCUUCCAGUGAAUUCCUAAGCUGAUGGCUAGAGACUCGCGAAGGCUGUGUGAUGGGGAGGAGGCCUGUAGGAGCUCCAGCCCCUGAGAGACUUGCAAACUCUUUGGGGAGGUGGGACACCCAUGUAAGAGCUAUUAGCUAAAAAUACAGGGCAGAGCAUCCAAGAUACCACGUCUGGUCUGUUAAUAGUAGCAUCCCCAGUGCCUAACGUACAUGAGCAGCAGUCAGUAAAUCCCUGUCAAACGCAGGAAUAAAGAACGACCGGCACAAUCUUUGUAUGUUACCCAAGGCCACGUGGCGCUUCCAUGCUCCUGGGAGAUGUGGUGAAAACUUGCUCUGAACCUCAGACUGCUCAGCUGUUCCACGGUUGUUUGUCGCGCUCCUCUGUCCCUGCUCAUGAGAGGACAACCUCUUCCAUGUCGUGUCAAACCACUAGACUCACACACUGUUUUGCACUUCCCCUUUUUCUACAAAAAUGUAAUCGUCCUGGGAAUUGUGCCAUCACUUUACUGAUGAGGGUGUCACAGAGGAGGGACCACUGGUUUUGCCAACUUUUACAAGUUGCCCCAUUGAACUCCCUGACCUUGGCUCCCUCCCCAGCUUUCAGAGAAAUGUAGUUCAGGGGGUGUCUCCAUCCCCUUCCUCCCCCAACCCACAGCUUUUCCUGCAGGUAGGAGGGCUGCCAGUCUGCUUGCCCCAGUGCCAGAAAUUCCAAAGAAUACAAUAUUCUCUUUUUUUUCCUUCCACAUGAAUCUCCCAGGCCCUGUGAGUCCCCAGAGGACCAUGAGGCAGGUUUGGACUCAGGGCAGAGAAGCCCCUUCUAAAGGGGCUGAGAGCUAUCUAGACUGCCGAGCUCCCUGCCAUGGGAGGUGAACCAGCACAGUGCAGCUGCAGGAGCUCCUCUGGGGUGCAGAUGUAAAUCCUCAGGUAUUUAUUCAACUUGGGGGUUGGAUAUUACAGCAGGACACUCAUUGAUUCAUCUAAUCGGAGGGGCACCUCUAGCAAUAAUAAGCAUCGGCACUGCUCCAGCUUUUAUUACAUUCAUCAUAGGUAAGGAUAUGAAGCUGGGAAGAAGGGGACCCAGGUUUAUGGCCCCAGCUAUUUUACUGACUCUCAGUGUGGGCCUGCUCAAAUCUCCCUCCAUCAGUGGGCCUCAGUUUCCCCAUUUGCACGAUGCAAAUUCUCUAACGGGGACUGGGUGCUUCCCUGGGGCCCUGCAGCUCUGAGACACUGUGAUUUCCUGGUAUCUCAAGAAUAGAAGGUGAUGUGUUUUUUCUGCAACAGGAACGAGUGUCAAGUUUGUGGGAAAUUGAGAGUGACUGCAUCUUCUUAUCGCUCUGGCUCUGGGCCCAGCUGGGGCUCUGUCUGGCUGCCACAGAGGAGGAAGGGGCGCCUUAGACCCUCCUCUGGUCUGUGGAGAAAGUGAAGCUGGACCUUGGUGUUCUGCAUGCAGUGGGCCCAGCCAGGCUUCUGGCCUCCUCAGCCUGUGCAGAGACAGAGCACGGUGGCCUCUGCCUCGGGAAGGGGGAUGGGGAGCAUCUCUCUGCAUCUCUGUGCUGCUGGGGUCAGCUCUGCUCUUGGCAUGGGGCUGGGAUCAUGGAGGCCACUCCUGUCUGUCUUCCUCUUGCAAUGCAGGCUCCAUGGGAGGAUGUGGGAAAGCAUGGUUCUUUCUGGCUCUCAUUGAGAUUGGUCCAAAUAUUCCAAAACUUUUCCUAAGUUCUCAAAGACCUUCUUAAUUAUUAGUAACAUUUGAAAGACAAUCAACUCCCACAUGCCAGGUUCUGUUCUGGGCACUGAGGUAUAGCAGCAAAUAAGAAAGAAAUGGCCUUCGGCUCCGGCCCCAUAGUGCACCCACCACCCGCCUCUGCCAGCAUCUGGGACCCCAGCCAAUUUCCCAUCAAGCCAGAGCGCAGGCAGCUUGGUCAGGUGCGGCGAGAUCAUCAAGUGCUCAAGCAGAAGGGAUUCUGCCUUGUGGCCAGAAGUUCCUUCAGGCCCCCGAGGAACAUCUAAAGCAGCGCAACGUUGACCUGAAAGACCACCCUCUCUUCCCGGAGCUGG